rnacentral:rRNA from 1 species
CCUACGGGAGGCAGCAGUGAGGAAUAUUGGUCAAUGGCCGGAAGGCUGAACCAGCCAUGCCGCGUGAAGGUCAGUGCCCUAUGGGCGUUAAACUUCUUUUGUGUGGGAGCAAUAAUGGUCACGUGUGGCCCGACGAGAGUACCGUACGAAUAAGCAUCGGCUAACUCCGUUCCAGCAGCCGCGGUAAUACGGGGGAUGCAAGCGUUAUCCGGAUUUAUUGGGGGUAAAGGGAGUGUAGGCGGGAAAGCAAGUCAGAUGUGAAAACUCAGGGCUCAACCCUGAGCCUGCAUUUGAAACUGUUUUUCUUGAGUGCGGGAGAGGCAAUCGGAAUUCCGGGUGUAGCGGUGAAAUGCGUAGAUAUACGGAGGAACACCAGUGGCGAAGGCGGAUUGCUGGACAGUAACUGACGCUGAGGCGCGAAAGCGUGGGGAGCAAACAGGAUUAGAUACCCUAGUAGUC